AUCGGAAAGGUGAGGUGCGAAAUGCCUUGGCACAAGAAUCUAGUGUGGUGUUUCCUCUUCUACAGCAACUGUUGCAGACAGAUUCUCCAGUAUUCAUCAGCCAGAAGGCACUCAAGUGCUUCUCAAGUUGGGUACAGCUAGAUGUGCCCUUGUUGGAUUGUGAGUGUUUGAUGCAAGCCUCCUUUACAUCUCUACACAAUGCUGAGCUCUUUGACACAGCUGUUGAAGCCCUUGUCAAUGCCAUCUCCCAGCCAGAUGCCCAAAGAUUUCUUGCCAUCUUGCUGAAUCUUGCUGACUCUGCAGCUAUAAGGGAGAUGGGGGAGCACAGGGAGAAUUUGCUGCACAAGUGACAGAUCAUGCUAAGUCAGUAUGGACAGGUUGGGCUGAAGGGCCUGUUUGUGCUGUAUGACUGACUCUAAGGAAGCAGCACUCCUCCAGGUAGCAUGACUGUUGAGUUCAAUAAAGCAACCACUGGGCAAAUGCAAGAAUCCAACCUAAUUAACAAGUUGGAAUCUCAGAGUCUACAUACUUCAGCACAGAUUGUCCAAUAAAUUGAGAAUAAAUAUAGGUGUGCUCUGAUUGAGAUGGUUGCAUAAGAAUGCAUGGAAGCCACAGAUGACUAAUGUCCAUGUAUUCCGGUCAUGAUCAAGAAGAAACUACGUGGCACUGAGAUCAAGGAUGCUAUCUGAAAGAAAAUGACUGAUAUGGAAAUUCUGAAAAUUCAAUAAAGAAAAUACUACUUUAUCAGGGUAGCCAUCUUCUAUGUUGAGAAUUCAUGAGAUUAAAUGUGUUCCAUAUUAUGUUCGGAGACAGUUUUGUGUUUCAGUAAUAGAGUUCCACUGUGUUGGAAAUUUGGGGGAUUCAGGGUCCUCCAGAUGAGCUAAUGAACCAAUUGCUUGGGUUCAGCAAGAAUGAUCUCUGAAGGACAUCCAAGAAGCAAAAAGAAAAAAUACUUUGCAGAUCUCAUGAAAUCUAGAACAAAAUCAAGGUCAACAGUCCUCAAGCUAAAGAUCUACCAAUCUUUCAAGCCCAAAGAGAAUUCCUUUUUCUGGAAGAAUUAUGAAACUUCAAGACCACCUUCAAGUCCAUUCUUUGAGGAUUUGUUAGACUUUACA